rnacentral:rRNA from 1 species
CUACGGGUUGCAGCAGUGAGGAAUAUUGGUCAAUGGGCGCGAGCCUGAACCAGCCAUCCCGCGUGCAGGAUGACGGCCCUAUGGGUUGUAAACUGCUUUUCUAUGCCAAGAAACCUGAUUACGUGUAAUCAGUUGCCGGUAGCAUAGGAAUAAGCAUCGGCUAACUCCGUGCCAGCAGCCGCGGUAAUACGGAGGAUGCAAGCGUUAUCCGGAUUCAUUGGGUUUAAAGGGUGCGCAGGUGGGCUUGUAAGUCAGUGGUGAAAUGCUGCCGCUUAACGGUAGAACUGCCAUUGAUACUGCGAGUCUUGAGUAUGGUUGAGGUAGGCGGAAUGUGUUGUGUAGCGGUGAAAUGCAUAGAUAUGACACAGAACGCCAAUUACGAAGGCAGCUUACUAAGCCAUUACUGACGCUGAGGCACGAAAGCGUGGGGAGCGAACAGGAUUAGAUACCCUGGUAGUC